UACAGUGUGGUGUAUAGGUAACACAUAGAAUUUUGAAUUGUUUAAAGUAGGUUCAAAUCCUAUGAUUCUAG
rnacentral:tRNA from 1 species